CAAUAGCGUAUAUUAAAGUUGUUGCAGUUAAAAAGCUCGUAGUUGGAUUUCGGGGCGGCCCGGCCGGUCCGCCGCGAGGCGAGCACUGGUCGGGCGCCCUUCCUCUCGAAGGCUUCGACUGCUCUUGAUUGCGGUGGUCGAGGCGUUCGGGACGUUUACUUUGAAAAAAUUAGAGUGUUCAAGGCAGGCCGUCGCCUGAAUACAUUAGCAUGGAAUAAUGGAAGAGGACCUCGGUCCUAUUUUGUUGGUUUCCAGGGCCGAAGUAAUGAUUAAGAGGGACAGUUGGGGGCAUUCGUAUUCAAUUGUCAGAGGUGAAAUUCUCGGAUUUAUGGAAGACGAACAAGUGCGAAAGCAUUUGCCAAGGAUGUUUUCAUUAA
rnacentral:rRNA from 1 species